GAGCAGAAAAUGGAUGACAAACAAUGGAAACAACUGAACAGGAAUGUGUGUGUGAAGAUGAGCAGAGUAGACCUUUCUGCCAAGUGCAAGGACACCAUAGGAUUGGUGAAGGAGUCUACGGCCCCUGUUGUCAUUUCAGCGAUUGACCUCGACAUGGAGCUCUCAGAUUCAUCAAGCACUUCCUUAUCAGGAUAUGAGAAGGCGAGACAGGUGACCUUCCUCAACCGGAGUGUCACAUUCAGCCAUAGUGGGGGAUCCAGCAGAUCCAGCACCCCCACAUCUGACCGCUCCAGUCAAUCGUCCUUGAGCUGUUUGUUGAGGGAAGAUGAGUCGAUCUUGUAUGACUCCUCGUCUCAGGGUAGCUACAUAGUAACGGGACACAGUCCUCAGUCAGCACCUCUGCAGUCCAUGUUUGGAAUCUCUGAAGACUCUGUCUUCAACAUGGUCCAGAGAGGCCAGUCGCCGGGUGAUAUCCCACAGCCAUUCAGGUUGAGUGGGCAGAAGAAGAGCAGGAGUGUUGUAAUGUCAGCAGACAGCAGAUUGUUGAUAGGUGUUGUGGAGUUUGUUGUGAGCCUUCUAAACAGUAAAUUGGAUGAUCUUAUUCUAAGAACCGAUCAGGGAACUCGGCGGCUUGAUAAUUUUAGUAUCUCAGUCAGCCUGCAGUUGGCUCAAGAAAUGCUAAAUAUGACAACGGACAUAAUGAACUCUCAUGCAAUGGAGGACGUAUCAUGCAGCCCCACGUCUACCUUGGAAGUAGAGAGGGAACUCA
ensembl:lncRNA